rnacentral:rRNA from 1 species
UAAUACGUAGGGGGCGAGCGUUGUCCGGAUUUAUUGGGCGUAAAGAGCUCGUAGGCCGUUCGGUAAGUCAGAUGUGAAAACUCCAGGCUCAACUUGGAGACGCCAUCUGAUACUGCCGUGACUUGAGUCCGGUAGGGGAGCACGGAAUUCCUGGUGUAGCGGUGAAAUGCGCAGAUAUCAGGAGGAACACCAGCGGCGAAGGCGGUGCUCUGGGCCGGUACUGACGCUGAGGAGCGAAAGCGUGGGGAGCGAACAGG